rnacentral:hammerhead_ribozyme from 1 species
AUGCGGUUGACGAGUCUCAAAUAGGACGAAACGCGCGUCUUGGAU